rnacentral:rRNA from 1 species
CUACGAGAACGAACGCUGGCGGCAUGCCUAACACAUGCAAGUCGAACGAGACCUUCGGGUCUAGUGGCGCACGGGUGCGUAACGCGUGGGAACCUGCCUUUAGGUUCGGAAUAACUCAGAGAAAUUUGAGCUAAUACCGGAUAAUGUCUUCGGACCAAAGAUUUAUCGCCUUUAGAUGGGCCCGCGUUGGAUUAGCUAGUUGGUGGGGUAAAGGCCUACCAAGGCGACGAUCCAUAGCUGGUCUGAGAGGAUGAUUAGCCACACUGGGACUGAGACACGGCCCAGACUCCUACGGGAGGCAGCAGUGGGGAAUAUUGGACAAUGGGCGAAAGCCUGAUCCAGCAAUGCCGCGUGAGUGAUGAAGGCCUUCGGGUUGUAAAGCUCUUUUACUCGGGACGAUAAUGACGGUACCGAGAGAAUAAGCCCCGGCUAACUCCGUG